GCCAGUGUGGCACAGAGGUUUGAGUGCUGGACUACAUCUCUGGAGAUCAGGGUUCAGUUCCCUGUGGGGCCA